CUAACUACGUGCCAGCAGCCGCGGUAAUACGUAGGUGGCAAGCGUUAUCCGGAUUUUAUUGGGACGUAAAGAGAGUGCAGGCGGUUUUCUAAGUCUGAUGUGAAAGCCUUCGGCUUAACCGGAGAAGUGCAUCGGAAACUGGAUAACUUGAGUGCAGAAGAGGGUAGUGGAACUCCAUGUGUAGCGGUGGAAUGCGUAGAUAUAUGGAAGAACACCAGUGGCGAAGGCGGCUACCUGGUCUGCAACUGACGCUGAGACUCGAAAGCAUGGGUAGCGAACAGGAUUAGAUACCCUGGUAG
rnacentral:rRNA from 1 species